UACGUAGGGGGCAAGCGUUGUCCGGAUUUACUGGGCGUAAAGGGCGUGUAGGCGGUUUUUUAAGUCAGAUGUGAAAGUUCGGGGCUCAACCCCGGAAUUGCAUUUGAAACUGGAGAACUUGAGUACUGGAGAGGUAAGUGGAAUUCCUAGUGUAGCGGUGAAAUGCGUAGAUAUUAGGAGGAACACCAGUGGCGAAGGCGACUUACUGGACAGAUACUGACGCUGAGGCGCGAAAGCGUGGGGAGCGAACAGGAUUAGAUACCCUGGUAGUCCACGCCGUAAACGAUGAGUGCUAGGUGUUGGGGCAACUCAGUGCUGUAGUUAACACAAUAAGCACUCCGCCUGGGGAGUACGAUCGCAAGAUUGAA
rnacentral:rRNA from 1 species